CUUAAACUCACUGAAGAAUCAAGAUUCACCUGCCACUUUCACAAACUCAAGUUACCUCAACAAAUCCAGAGAUACUACAUAAUAGAGCAAGUCAUGCUGAAGUAGAAAAUCUACCCAGAGAAAUGUCUAGCAUUUGCAUGCCUUGAAUGUGAAACGAUGAAUUUCCCUGUGAGAUGGUUUUGGUGACAGUUAACAGCCUUCCUUAUUUCAAUGUAUCAUUAGCACAAUCUCCAUUUUCUCCAUGUUUCCAGUCUUCUACACCUUGUGAAAAUAAAGUUUGCAAACAGGUUUAGAGAAAUGAAGCUCUUUGCUUUGACUGAUCCAUUCAACUGGACACUGGCAGUGCUGGAGCUGCACAAGAACACAGAUCUCCUGCUGGCUCACCCGAACGUUCUCUGCUCUGUGAGGACAAGAUUUCAAGUCUUCUAACUUCACAGACCAUGUUCUCCCUGUCCCUUGAGCUGCAUCAAUUGGUUGAAAACCUAAAACAAUUGGCCAUCUAUCUGGAGUG